rnacentral:lncRNA from 1 species
GAGCCCAUGCAGCCAUGACCUGCAUAUGAAGACAGAGAGCCAGAGAGCUGAAGGUGGAAUUUGCAGCACUGACAACUCCAUUCACACACAGCUGUCUACUUAUCAGACCCCAUGAGCCCAAGGUCCAGUGUCCCUCUCCUGGAGUUUGGGGAAAGACAGAGUGACAAGAGGUUGCAAUGGAUCAUGUGACCAACAAGCCAUGUUUUUAGUUGGGGAAUAUGUUGACAUUGGUGCAUUUUGCAGAAUCUGGGGCUUGAAGCGUGAUUUUGGUAGCAUCUACACAACACUGUUGGCAGAGGACAGAGCCCUGCACUCAAUCCUCAGGGAACCUGCCCCAAAGCUGCUGUCUUCCUCCUCCUGGCAGAUCAUGUUCCUACUUAAAAAGAAACCAAAAAACUGUCAAGUUCCACAUAUCCAGUAAGUAGGGAAGGGUACCAGAAAAAAGGAGCAUGAAACGAAAGUAAAAUUCACUGGAGAUGCAUCUCAUGAUAAGAUGAAAGGGCUAGGGGUUCUUUUUCAAUUAUUUAGAACUCUUGUGAAUAAAUGCCACUUGCAGCAUUUGGAUAUGGGUGCU